rnacentral:lncRNA from 10 species
GCGCAAUCGCCGGCGACGGGCUCCGGCACUUCGCUCUGUGAAGUACCAUUAGCCGCGGGAAUAUCAGUAUGUGAGAACGUGGCCAUGGACAAGAAUUCCAAGUAGUGGCACUUCUGUAGACGACGCGGCCCUUUUGGGGUUACUACAGCCCAGGAAACUCACAUGCGACACGGCGCCAGCUGAAGUCCAUCUAGACCCCCGCAGACCCAAGGUCACAAGUUGAGAACCCCCUGCCGUGGACAUUCUUCUGCACCUAGUGGUGAAGCAGGUGGAGCUGCACCUUGCUCCGCCCAUUUGGAGACUGGUUCUGCACAUAUGAGUGUGCCCUGCAGCGAUCCUGCAAUCCUUCGUGACUAACAAGGACUUUCUGUGAAAACAGAUUUAUCUUUUCUUCUCUACCUUUAAGGUUUCUUGCUGUUGAGAAUAGUUAAGGGACGAGGAAUUCUUAUUGCCCCCAUUUUACAGGCAAAGAAACUAAUGCUGACCCCAACCUUACCGACCACUUGGAGGUCCCUAAAAACACAUGACCUUUGUGUUUCUCGGCUGUUAGUGGAAUCCUUUCUGUCUGCUCAUGAACUCAUCUUCAAACGCAUUCCAGGCCUUCAGAACUCUUCCGUGAGCGCAAGUCACUGGUAUGGGCCACUGUUAACUGCCGGUUAUCACCUAGAUUUUCUUAACUAUGCUUUGCCCUCUGAGGCCGUGAGCUCUUGAAUCUUCACCUUAGUCUGUAGGAGGAAAAGUUGUUUGAGAUGAUAUUUGAAUCCUUCAUUUUAGGCCAAAUUCAGAACAUAGCAAAAGGUUCUGGCUAACAUGCAGAACAGUAUGUCUGGACUCCCACUACUGUUGGUCUGCAAAGUUGAAGGCUACUCUAGGCAAAUAUGUCACCUUUAAUGUAUCUCCUUAGGAGGAGUCUUUCACCUUAUUCAUGCUCCUCAGCACCCACACCAAAAGAUUCAUGAAGUAAAUGUUACCUAGUCUCUGCUUUACCCCAUUACCCCCGGCCUGAGGACCUUUGAACCAUUUUAAAUGCUCUACCUGCCAGCCUGGCCAUCUGUGCAUUGCUUGCUCCAUCCACCCUUCUGACUCAGCUGAAAUACCACCUUCCCAAAGAAGUCUAAGUGACCACCUCAUCUAAAUUGGGUUUCCUGCCCACCCCUCCUCUAUCACUUUGCGCAUGGUUGUAUUUCUAUCACAGAACUUCCGUCCA